CCUACGGGGGGCAGCAGUGGGGAAUAUUGGGCAAUGGGCGCAAGCCUGACCCAGCAACGCCGCGUGAAGGAAGAAGGCUUUCGGGUUGUAAACUUCUUUUCUCAGGGACGAAGCAAGUGACGGUACCUGAGGAAUAAGCCACGGCUAACUACGUGCCAGCAGGCGCGGUAAUACGUAGGUGGCAAGCGUUAUCCGGAUUUACUGGGUGUAAAGGGCGUGUAGGCGGGGACGCAAGUCAGAUGUGAAAACCACGGGCUCAACCUGUGGCCUGCAUUUGAAACUGUGUUUCUUGAGUACUGGAGAGGCAGACGGAAUGCGUGGUGUAGCGGUGAAAUGUAUAGAUAGUAGGCGGAACCCCGAUGGCGAAGGCGGUCUGCUGGACAGCAACUGACGCUGAGGCGCGAAAGCGUGGGGAGCGAACAGGAUUAGAUACCCGAGUAGUC
rnacentral:rRNA from 1 species